CUAGUAAAUCCCGUAGUAACUGUCGCGUCUGACGGUGUUGUAUUUCCUCAAACCAAACGUUUUACAAGUCCUUCGUUAUUGUAGUUUACACAACUUGAAAGAUAGACCUAGGUCUGAUAGUAGAGAAAAGCAGCAAUCACCAGCCCUGUGGAGAAGUUUUGAUCCUGGUCAUCAAUUUGUUUUGUACCCGUAUUACUCGUUCCUACUAUCUUGAGUUGUCUUUUCAAGUGUGCUCAUACCACUUACGUCGUUUCACUUACUCUUGGAGUUCGUGCAAUUCUCGUCGUAGUUGGUGUGUUGACAGUUCUAGUUACUUUUGUAUCAAAGUAGUAAACGUGGAUGAUUCGGAAGUCAGUAGCCUUACUCCUUGUAGUUCGAAGGUAACGUUGGAUAACUACUCUUGUCAAACAGCCAUCAAGUAUUCCCGAGUGUGCUAUGAAAUCGUUGGGGUCUAACACACUAAUGAUUUUAACAACUUGUGUUGUUACUUUUCCAAAUCACACGUUUUGCCGGUCCCGUGAAAGUGUGCGGGGUGGUCAGAUUGGCCGUGUUUUUUACUACAACCUCCAGUCUAACGUGGAGGACUCCGUCCCGUUUCGUUAAUGGUUUACUAAUUGGUGUACGGUGGUUAUCCGGCAUAUUUCAACAAGUUACUCCUCCUGACGUUCUAACCGUGUUCGUUGUUGGUAGGAUUCGAGUACCGUAAUCGUCUGUUCUUAAAAAGUUUUUGGUUGGUUUAGUAACCGUGUUUUGUUCGUGGUUAGGGUCACCGGCUAGAAAGAGGGAGAUACGGUUGAUUCUCCUUCCGUCUGUAACAACUAUAGUCAGGUUCUUCAAAACCACAGUCCGUUUAGCUUAAACGAUUCUUACGUCUAGUACAUAUGUUGUUAGACUAGCCUGGUUAACGCUUUGAAGUUGCGGUUAGAUGUCAUCCCCAUCUUCUCCAACAACUACACGGUCUGCUGUAACUAUUAGUAUAGUAAUAGCUACUUGAACGCGAUCUGUGGUAAUAGUCAGUUCCAGCUGUACUACUAAACUAGUAAAACGCUGGUUUUUCAGAGGACCUUGAGGGUUAGUUCCUUUUGCUUUCCAAGGGACACAGUUUGCUUCUCACGUACGCAAUGUUGAGUUAUUAGCUUGAACGUAUAUGUUUUUCUUAAGUCUCCUUCAUACGCAACUGCAUGAGCUACCAAGUAACGUUAAUACAUAGUGAACCUGUUUCGGAAUACGGUUGGCCCGUGCAGCUGUUGAAAAACUAGGGAACGAAAACAGCCUUCAAGAAGCUCCUGGCAGUAGGGAGUUAGAGACCUUCCGUGGUAAAGAAGGGCUUAUAACCACUCUUGUAUGACUUGAUGGUUCUGCUAUUUGAUUCUAGUUAACGGUGAAGCAAAGACCCCCGUCGUAGUCGUUCAUCCCCAUUUGCAGAUCUAAACAGUUUAUGCCACACAAGAAGAAACAGGAAGAAGGAAAUAAAAAAGAAAAAAACAAACACAAGAUAAAAAAGGCAAAACUAAAAAAAAACAAGGUUGAGAAAAUUACACAAAAAUAAAAAAAGAUAAAAACUAAUCGACAAGAAGGGGUGUACAGAGCUGUUGGUAACCUAUCACAAACGACAACUAAAGUUCACCUUUGAAAAACGAAAGAACCUAAGAAAAAUACUGUUCCUGAGCAUAGAAGUGUUCUGAUAGUCUCUCUUUAAAUAGUUCUUGAAGUAGUUCAACACCCUUUAGUAAAAGGUUUGUCUGGUCGUAUUAAAGUUCUAAAAGUUUUCCUACAUGGGAGUACACGGUUUCGUCUGAUUACCUUUACUAAUACCUCACAAACGUUGUUUCUAUUACCUCUAUACACGUGGUGGUAACCUAGACGCGUUCUAAAAGAGUGUACUGCUGUAGGUUGUGUAUUCUUAAGUCAUGUACUUGGUUGAAAAGAAAACCUUGUUUUUGUGACGUCUGUUCUCGGAACAGUGACCAAAGUUGAAUGUCCCACUGAAGCAGUCGUUAGGAGGUACUGUCGCCACCGCAAAGAGACAAAGAUCCGAACAACCUACCCGUAGUUCUCUUCUUCUCUCGAGUAAAUUUUGUUAAAACAUCGUAGUAGAUCUAGUUAAAAACACAUCACAUCACCAGGCAACUUGACAACUCCUUCAACAGCAACCAACAUGCUCGUAUAGUACAAACAACAUUUACGACCGGUGAAAGAAAAAGUACAUCUAUGUUUACAAACAGGAGAUACAGUCUACAUAUGUAAGUCUCUGUCUGAUAGUAAAUGGAACAAUCAAACAAACAAG
rnacentral:rRNA from 1 species